GAGCCCGUUAAUGGGUGAUGGCGUGCCUUUUGUAGAAUGAACCGGCGAGUUACGAUUUGAUGCAAGGUUAAGCAGUAAAUGUGGAGCCGUAGCGAAAGCGAGUCUGAAUAGGGCGUUUAGUAUUUGGUCGUAGACCCGAAACCAGGUGAUCUACCCUUGGUCAGGUUGAAGUUCAGGUAACACUGAAUGGAGGACCGAACCGACUUACGUUGAAAAGUGAGCGGAUGAACUGAGGGUAGCGGAGAAAUUCCAAUCGAACCUGGAGAUAGCUGGUUCUCUCCGAAAUAGCUUUAGGGCUAGCCUCAAGUGAUGAUUAUUGGAGGUAGAGCACUGUUUGGACGAGGGGCCCCUCUCGGGUUACCGAAUUCAGACAAACUCCGAAUGCCAAUUAAUUUAACUUGGGAGUCAGAACAUGGGUGAUAAGGUCCGUGUUCGAAAGGGAAACAGCCCAGACCACCAGCUAAGGUCCCAAAAUAUAUGUUAAGUGGAAAAGGAUGUGGCGUUGCCCAGACAACUAGGAUGUUGGCUUAGAAGCAGCCAUCAUUUAAAGAGUGCGUAAUAGCUCACUAGUCGAGUGACACUGCGCCGAAAAUGUACCGGGGCUAAACAUAUUACCGAAGCUGUGGAUUGUCCUUUGGACAAUGGUAGGAGAGCGUUCUAAGGGCGUUGAAGCAUGAUCGUAAGGACAUGUGGAGCGCUUAGAAGUGAGAAUGCCGGUGUGAGUAGCGAAAGACGGGUGAGAAUCCCGUCCACCGAUUGACUAAGGUUUCCAGAGGAAGGCUCGUCCGCUCUGGGUUAGUCGGGUCCUAAGCUGAGGCCGACAGGCGUAGGCGAUGGAUAACAGGUUGAUAUUCCUGUACCACCUAUAAUCGUUUUAAUCGAUGGGGGGACGCAGUAGGAUAGGCGAAGCGUGCGAUUGGAUUGCACGUCUAAGCAGUAAGGCUGAGUAUUAGGCAAAUCCGGUACUCGUUAAGGCUGAGC
rnacentral:rRNA from 1 species